rnacentral:rRNA from 1 species
CCUACGGGAGGCUGCAGUAGGGAAUCUUCCACAAUGGGCGAAAGCCUGAUGGAGCAACGCCGCGUGGGUGAAGAAGGUCUUCGGAUCGUAAAACCCUGUUGUUAGAGAAGAAAGUGCGUGAGAGUAACUGUUCACGUUUCGACGGUAUCUAACCAGAAAGCCACGGCUAACUACGUGCCAGCAGCCGCGGUAAUACGUAGGUGGCAAGCGUUAUCCGGAUUUAUUGGGCGUAUAGGGAACGCAGGCGGUCUUUUAAGUCUGAUGUGAAAGCCUUCGGCUUAACCGGAGUAGUGCAUUGGAAACUGGGAGACGUGAGUGCAGAAGAGGAGAGUGGAACUCCAUGUGUAGCGGUGAAAUGCGUAGAUAUAUGGAAGAACACCAGUGGCGAAAGCGGCUCUCUGGUCUGUAACUGACGCUGAGGUUCGAAAGCGUGGGUAGCAAACAGGAUUAGAUACCCCUGUAGUC